rnacentral:rRNA from 1 species
CACGUAGGGUCCGAGCGUUGUCCGGAAUUACUGGGCGUAAAGCGCGCGCAGGCGGCCCCGACACAUCGGCGGUGAAAGCCCCCCCGCUUAACGGGGGGAGGGUCCGUCGUGAUGGUCGGGCUGGAGGCAGGGAGAGGGCGGUGGAAUUCCGGGUGUAGUGGUGAAAUGCGUAGAGAUCCGGAGGAACACCAGUGGCGAAGGCGGCCGCCUGGACCUGACCUGACGCUGAGGCGCGAAGGCGCGGGGAGCGAACGGG